rnacentral:rRNA from 1 species
CCUACGGGAGGCAGCAGUGAGGAAUAUUGGUCAAUGGGCGGGAGCCUGAACCAGCCAAGCCGCGUGAGGGAAGAAGGUACAGCGUAUCGUAAACCUCUUUUGUCAGGGAACAAAGGCGGGGACUAGUCCCCGGAUGAGGGUACCUGAAGAAACAGCAUCGGCUAACUCCGUGUCAGCAGCCGCGGUAAUACGGAGGAUGAGAGCGUUAUCCGGAUUUAUUGGGGCUAAAGGGUGGGCAGGCGGCCUGGUAAGUUAGAGGUAAAAGCACGGGUCUCAACCCCGGCGAGCCGUUGAAACUGGCGGGCUGGAGUUGGAGAGAGGUACGCGGAAUGCGCGGUGUAGCGGUGAAAUGCGUAGAUAUCGCGCAGAACCCCGAUGGCGAAGGCAGCGUACCGGCUCCACACUGACGCUGAGGCACGAAAGCGUGGGUAUCGAACAGGAUUAGAUACCCCAGUAGUC